UGUCCAGGGCGGGAAUCGAACCCCACACCCUUCUGCUUACCGGGCAGGUGCCUGUCCACUCGGCUACCCUGGAC
rnacentral:tRNA from 1 species